rnacentral:rRNA from 1 species
CCUACGGGAGGCAGCAGUGAGGAAUAUUGGUCAAUGGACGAGAGUCUGAACCAGCCAAGUCGCGUGAAGGAUGACUGCCCUAUGGGUUGUAAACUUCUUUUAUAUGGGAAUAAAAUGUUCCACGUGUGGGAUUUUGUAUGUACCAUAUGAAUAAGGAUCGGCUAACUCCGUGCCAGCAGCCGCGGUAAUACGGAGGAUCCGAGCGUUAUCCGGAUUUAUUGGGUUUAAAGGGAGCGUAGGUGGGCUUUUAAGUCAGUUGUGAAAGUUUGCGGCUCAACCGUAAAAUUGCCGUUGAAACUGGCAGGCUUGAGUACAGUAGAGGUAGGCGGAAUACGUGGUGUAGCGGUGAAAUGCUUAGAUAUCACGAAGAACACCGAUAGCGAAGGCAGCUUACUAAACUGUGACUGACAUUGAUGCACGAAAGCGUGGGUAUCAAACAGGAUUAGAUACCCUGGUAGUC